CUUUUAGUUAGCUAUGUUAAAGGCUUGGGCAUCGCGUUAAAGAGCUUUCUGCUGAGAAGACUCAGCUGAGACAUCCCGUGGCCUGGAUUCAGCUUCUAAGACUCCCAGUCUGUGAGAGGCAAGAUAUGCCUGUUGGUGACAUCACUGGUACUUUUGAGUAGCUUCCUUGAAAUUGUUGUGGGGAUGUCGUGCCUGCAUGCCUUUAAAGAUACUCAUUUAGUCUAGCAAGACAGCCUGUAUUUUCUGCUCAAAGACUACUCUACCAAAAAAAAGUUUUGAAAAUGUUUGGAGAAAGAGCAGUACCAGCAGAAGAAACAACACGUGUGUCCUCAUGCAUGGCUGCCUUGAAGGGGCUCUAAUUUGAACUUAAUGAUUUUGAGGUAUUUGCUUACAAAUCAAUUCAACAACAGAA